GUUCUCUUCAGCAGAACAUAUGCUAAAAUUGGAAUGAUUCAGAGAUGAGCAUGGCCCCUGUGCAAGGAGGACAUGUAAUUUAGUGAAGCUUUCCAUAUGUGA
ensembl:snRNA U6 U6 spliceosomal RNA